AGCUGGAUUACCUUGAAAACAAGUGCAAUAGGUUUUUGUUGGCAGGAUGUUACCCAGGAAAGGGGACACACCUCAGAGAAAAACAUGAGUGACUAAAAGAGCUAUCGUACUGAUUUUAUACAUCUGUUACUUUCUACAAAUUCACAGGAUAUUUAUGUGGAUCUUUCUGAUCAACUUCACUCAUAUUUUCCAUCAGUGUUUGCAAGCCAGCAUGAUUUGGAAGAACAAACCUGUAAUGGUUGCUGAAUUCUGGAAAACAUCUAAACAGAAAACAGUUUUACCAGUUUGAUGGGAAUAAAUUAAUGGCACUGUGGUAUUUCCAGAGGGAAACAAAUAUAUGAGGCAGCAAGCAUCCAGAGAUACUUCACCAGCUUUUACACACCAGACAAAGGGCCACUUUGCUGAAUUACAGUGUUUUCCCCUACACUGGUCGAAUCCAACACCAGUUUGGUCUUAAGUUUGUUGCAAACAAACUUUGCUUAAAUUUGUUGGCAAACAGCAAGCCCUGGGAGAAAACUGCACUUCAUUGAUCAUCAAUAAAUGUAGGGACAUUUGAUUUUUGUAUCUGACAAAUAGAUAAAAAUGGCCAAAUUAAUUUUGGUGAAUAAUUUUCAAUGCUUUGGGGGGCAGAAAAAAUCCUCUUCCAAAACUAGUUUCUUACUGACAAGAUGGAGAGAGUGAAACAAGAAGAGUGACAGAGACAAAAGGUGUUUACUCCAUGGAAGGACUCACAUUGCUAAACUCUAACCACAGUGGCUUUAGACAGAAACCACACAUGUACAGAUCUGGAGAAUGUCACAAUCUGGUGUUGCUAAGAAGCCUGAGCUCUGCUUUUGCAAAACUUGAAACCUUAGUUGUUUCAGUGCAGAUUCAUAAUUAGAAUUUCUUUAGAGAAGCAGCUCUGAACUGGCUUUAAUAGAUACACACAUACAAAGCAGCAGCUAUAAAUGCAGAUGAGAACUUGAAGCGUUUUCAGGUGCAAAAGGAACUGGCUCUUUGGAGGCAGGUCUGCGGAAGAAAGUCACUUAUGUCUGCGGACUUUGUGCCUCUGAGCAACCUGAAAUUUGUCUGCAAUUUAAGCACCACGCAUUAGCACAUAACUUCCUUUUCCCUUUAUACCAAUUCUUUAUUGUUCUCCACCUAAACCAAAUGCCAGAUCCAAACUGUGAGAGUGCGAAAGGUGGAAAGCCAUCUUAAGAGAUGUGGAAGGAGUGAAAGCAAGUGAUGUUUCCCCUGAGGGCUGGGAGGGGUGUGUGUGUCAGAGAACAAGUAAGUGAAAUGUGUCCCGGCUAACCUGUCUCAGAAGCAGCCAGGAGCAGAUGUCAGGAGGAGAGUAGUCCUUUUCUUUCAGAAUGAUGUUACUCUUGGCAGAACUACCCAUCUUCCGGCAUGGCUGUAGAAAAGGUCGAGCAAGGCGUGUGAAUCCAUGGUAUUGGAAGAAGCACAUUAUGAUUCAGUCUCCAGUCAGUGCCACACUUCUCUUGCUGCCUCUGAUAGUGCUGUUUGCCCAACACCUUUACAACAUGGAAGGCACCAGAUACUCCAAGUUGCCUUUGUGUCCAAGGAGCUGCCCAGAAAGCAGGGGAGUAGCAUUUCUGUGGGACUGGGGAAAUAGUAGCUCUACUAACAUUCCCAAUGGAGGUUGCGUAUCCCAUCCUGCCAGCAGACUUGGAAAAGACUGUCUAGGGGGAAACUCAUAAUUCUUAGUGGCAGCUUCCCAAGCACAGCAGUUCUUAUUGGGAACUUGCCUCUCCUCUCUGGAAGAGACUGCAGAUAGCCUAGGGAAGAUAGGCAUUCCGACCUUUAUUGCUGCACAUCAAACCACUCUUGCCUUCUCCCUGUAUUGUAGAAGCGCAGACUGAUUCUGAAGCCAUGAUCAGCUCUUGCUGCUUUCCCCAAAGAACUUUCAAGCUCAGUCAGACCAGGAAAACUCAGUGUGAGAGUGUGAUGAGAAGUGAAGAAAGGCUGAGCGUGGCCUCAAUGGCUGCAGCAGGUCUCGGGCAGGGAGUGUGUACAGGUCCUACCCUGAGUGACCAGGCAGUCAGGGAGCUGAGGACCCCAUGGCAGCACACAGCUACUGCACGUAGGAUGGAAAAUGUUUAAACUGCUGGAGUUGGGGCCCACAGGAAACUUUUGGGAAGCGUGUGCUGGGUCUAAGACAGGAACCAAGAGAGUCAGUGUUUAAAAUAUGCACUGACAAUGAAUUGCUUCAUUACUUAGAGAAAAAUUGAGAAGGGGGGAAGGGGUAAAACUCAACCACAUCAGGAAACAGGCAAAUAAUUGUCUGACGGAUACACCAGGUCUCCUGAUUGCUAGUCUAAGACUUUGCUGCUACUCAGCCCCCAGUGUCUUACUCAUCAUGAUCUCCUUCCAGGAGACAUCAAGGUCUUCUCUGCAUUUAGGUAUGGAUCUCACACGCUGGAAAAGAAGCAAACAGAAACAUAGGGCAGCUUGCAAUUUUUGCUAAGUGUCUUAUUUUGCCCUGAUCUACUGUUUUGCAUUCUCCUCCAACACCUUACCCUGUUCAUACACCCAAAAUCAAAGCAUGAAAGUGACACCCUUCAAACCAAGGAUACUUUUGGCCCUUGAGCUGCUGAAGAAAGACACGCGGGUGGACCACUGCCUCUCUCCUGCAGCACUUUGUAAAACAAUUGAACAGUCCCAGGCAGGAGACUUUCUACAAAGGCCAAGGCAAGGAGUUGUGCAGGGCAGAGUACCUGCAGAAACUGGACCUCAUGAUCUGGACUUGCACAUCCAUGUGCAGAGACAUGGGAAACACUGCCUUUCUGGAGCUGGAGUGGGGAGGGGAGCUCUGGAAGCUGCAGGCAGGAAAAGCCUGACUUGGGAAUAGCGAAGCAGGUAACAAUCAUACAACUAUUUAUGGCUCUUUUUCCUUGUGACAAUCGCAGCCUUAUAAGGGCAAGAGCGCUCCAGUCGCGGCAGAGCUGCGGAGGUGGAGCCUCCAGGGGCACUCCUGAUGUUUGCUCCCAGGCUAUCUGCCUGCCCAAGCCGCUGACCUCCUUCCCGGGAAAAACCCUGGGAACCCUUGCUGAAUCCCAGCUGUUCAAAUUUCAAACUACAAAACGCCUCGGCUCCCCUCCCCUUCUCCCCAUAACUCCUACUAGCUGGAGCUGUGGUGAAGCAGAGACGUCUGCUUUUGUAAUAUUGUGGGCAUCAGGGAGCACUGGGUUGGAGAGUGCCCCCACAGCCAACGUGGGAAACUUAUUCUCAUCUGGUUGUGACAGUACUGAGAACUGGAAGAAAAAAGAAAGGAAGAAAAAACAAACAACCCUCCCCAUGGCCCCCCCAGCGUUGCUUGUUGGACACGAGUGUGUGAAAGGCUGCAGCUGGAAAAUCUGGUGCACAAACUCAUGUGCAGAUCCUUUUGCCCAUGGAUGUGCUUCAAGAGCCCCCCAGUAACUUUGGCUGAGCUUCCAGUGUGUCUGUUGGGUUCUUACACAUUUCAGCCCUGUCCAAUCCACGCAGCUGAACUAUGCUGGAAACGGUUUGCAAAUAAAACUGAACAUAAACAUGCUGAAAAUGUCACUGUCAUCAGAUAAGGUUGCUAUGCACAUUAAAUUCCUGACACGAGUUCAUUAAACCAAGGCCAUGAAAAGUUAA